rnacentral:tRNA from 1 species
ACCCCCGCCGAAUUGGUAUCGGAAUUCUCAUUUUCAUGCGGAAAACAACGGAGUUUUCAAUGUCUCCCCGUAAGACCUGAAGCGGCCUCCGGAGCCGAAGGUUGGAGGUUCGAAUCCUCCCGGGGGUA